rnacentral:lncRNA from 1 species
CUGCUGUUGCCAUCAUGAAAUACUUACUUUUAUCUUUGGACCUGUGUGUUGUCCGAUGGGAGUGGAGGAGAUGCACGCAAUAUGGGUGGCUCCUGUUCUUGAUGCCUCAUUUGCAUACAGUGUUCACAGUGCUCCAUGAGCACAGAAUUCCGAUGGGUCCACAACGAAAGGGACUUUAUGAUACUGAAAGCAAGCAUGAGGUACUGUGUCAGGAAGGUACUGGGCCAAAUGAUGAAGACUUGACUUUAUGGAACUGACAGUCGAGUGGAAAAGGAACAUUUGAUCUGGGCUUGAUAAAUGGACACACAGAUGAAGGAAGAAACAAAUGAAGUAUGGCACCUAUGAAGGCUGGAGCUGGGCCUGCUCUACUGUUGUCAGUGAGAAACCAACUGGUAAAGAAACCAGCCAAGGCAAUGUGAAGGAUUCCAAGAGAGGCAAUAUGGAUGAAACCAUUUAUUAGAUUUAUAAGAGCUGAAGGAAAGUGGUAAAGCUAUCCAUCUUCUAUACUUUAUUGAGAACAGGACCAAUGACUCAGACUAUCAGGACAGUAUCUCCAAGACAGAAUUGAAAUCCUAAAGUAAGCAGAGAAUAAGUGCAUACAUUUUAGGAGAAGAGGGAUCAAAGGCAGAAGGAAGAAAUGCAGGGGUGUCAGCUGUGACCCUCGAAGGAAAGGGAUCACCCUCUUUCUGACCCUAUACCACCUUCAGCAGGGAUGAAGGCAGUCAGAGAAAACUUAGUUAAAAGAUUUCUAAACUGCUUUGCUGAUUUGAUCUGGGGCCCUGGAGUGCCAACAUCCUGUGAUAGCGGCUGAUUGUUGAUGCCUGGGAGGAUACAGCAGUGACGAUCCAAAUUUACAAGACUCAACAUGGUUUUCAAAACUUCCUUUUAAAAAAGAUGUUCCUGAGUUCUGGAAUCUGAACAAAAUAUGUCUGGUUAUUAUAUAAUUCUAAUGGUCCUUGUGGAUGCUACCAUUAGAGUUCAGUUAGUGUCUCAUCUAUCACUGUAAUAUUUGUAUUGUAACACUAAUCGUGGCAAAGUAUGAUUUGAUAAAUGCUCAUUCUCAAAUCUUUU